rnacentral:rRNA from 1 species
UACGUAGGGUGCGAGCGUUAAUCGGAAUUACUGGGCGUAAAGCGUGCGCAGGCGGUUUUGUAAGCCAGGUGUGAAAUCCCCGGGCUCAACCUGGGAAUGGCAUUUGGGACUGCAAGGCUGGAGUGCGGCAGAGGAGACUGGAAUUCCUGGUGUAGCAGUGAAAUGCGUAGAUAUCAGGAGGAAUACCGAUGGCGAAGGCAGGUCUCUGGGCUAGCACUGACGCUCAGGCACGAAAGCGUGGGGAGCAAACAGG